AAAGUAGUCAACAGCUCUAACACUGCUGCAGCAGAAUAACCCUUCAUCUGGGGUGCUUCCUGGCCUGUUUUCAUUUGGUUGGGAAAUACUUCUGCAAGGCUGUAUGGAAAAGUGAUCUGGGUGUUUUGUCCUGCUCCCUCCCAGGCAGGAAAGCAGUCAUAACUGGAGAAGAUGGAGUGGAUUUUGGUGACACCUGAGGAGGUCCGAGACUGCUCCUGCCAUGCUGAGACAGCUGCAGAGGUGACCCAGCUCCUGGGAAUUUCUUGCCAAUCCAUGCAGCUGAUGCAGGAACUCCAAGUUUUCUGUGUGGUGUUGUCCCAAGCAGCAGAAGAGAAGCUGACCACACUUUGGGUGUAGGUGUAUGAUGUGUUUCUGACACGGCUCACAGACUUCCAGAAAAUUGCUUUUGUACCUUCAAUGCAUAUCAUGGAAUUUUCUGGUUUGGAAGGAAUACACAAGGAUGGUUGAGUCCAAUUCUCAGCCCUGCACAGGACACCCC
rnacentral:lncRNA from 12 species